GAGUCUUUAGUUCUUAUUGAAGUGGCCCAGUUGAGUCUUUAGUUCUUAUUGAAGUGGUCCAGGUGAGUCUUUAGUUCUUAUUGAAGUGGUCCAGGUGAGUCUUUAGUUCUUAUUGACGUGGUCCAGGUGAGUCUUUAGUUCUUAUUGAAGUGGUCCAGGUGAGUCUUUAGUUCUUAUUGAAGUGGCCCAGUUGAAUCUUUAGUUCUUAUUGAAGUGGUCCAGGUGAGUCUUUAGUUCUUG